rnacentral:rRNA from 1 species
UUCGUACCCAUAUCCGCAGCAGGACUCCAAGGUGAACAGCCUCUGGUCAAUAGAACAAUGUAGGUAAGGUAAGUCGGCAAAAUGGAUCCGUAACCUCGGGAAAAGGAUUGGCUCUGAGGACUGGGCCGGUCGGGCUGGGGUCCGAAGCGGGUCUGGCACUGUGCGGGGACUGGGCGAGACUAACUGGCAACGGUACGGUCGAGCUCGGACCUUCGUCGGGGCCCUCUCGUGAAAGGCUUCAGCUGUGCGCCCCCGUGGGUUGCUUCACGGCGCCUGCGUGGGGCGUUUCGACCGGCAGCAAACAGCCGACUCAGAACUGGCACGGACCGGGGGGAUUCGGACGGUCUAAUUAAAACAAA